rnacentral:rRNA from 1 species
AACGAACGCUGGCGGCAUGCCUAAUACAUGCAAGUCGAACGAGAAAGUCCUUUCGGGGGCAAGUACAGUGGCGCACGGGUGAGUAACACGUAGGUGACCUAUCCUUUUGUGGGGGACAACAGUUAGAAAUAGCUGCUAAUACCGCAUAAGCUGAUAAACUUUGGAAGGAUAUCAGGAAAGAUGGCCUCUUUACAAUGCUAUCGCUGAAGGAAGGGCCUGCGGGUCAUUAGCUUGUUGGUGGGGUAAUGGCCUACCAAGGCGAUGAUGACUAGCCGGUCUAAGAGGAUGAUCGGCCACACUGGAACUGAGACACGGUCCAG